rnacentral:rRNA from 1 species
AUGGCGCUGCGCUCUCCCUCCAGCACUUCGCGGCGGAAUCUGGGACCCCGUUAUUCGCCGCCGGCGGACUCUCUGCCUCCCACCUCUCAGGCUGGAUCCGGCAAUGGAGCUAGAGCUGGUGUUGCUAUGAAGGUGAAGGAGGCUGAACAUAUGUUGGCAAAUUUAGAAGAAGAGGGAGUGGAGAUAGAUGGCAACAUAGCUAGUAUUAUUAAUGAUGAGAUAGCUAGAAUUAAAGCUGAAGCUGAGAGGGAGAAGAUUAUCAAUGUGCUGACAAGGAACGGGCGGAUGGUACUGCUCACUAUUGCAUCUGCUGCUGCUGGUUUCUUCCUGGGAGGGGAAUGUUACGAACGGGCCCUCUAUGCGCAACUGGCCAUGAUUUUUGGUGAACCAUAG